UACGGGGAGGGAGCAGCGUUGGUGAAUUAUUUGGGCGUAAAGGGUGCGUAGGCGGUCUGACAAGUCUGAUGUGAAAUCUAUGGGCUCAACCCAUAGUCUGCAUCGGAAACUGUCGGGCUUUGAGUAUGGGGAGAGGUGAGUGGAAUUUUCCGGUGUAGCGGUGAAAAUGCGUAGAUAUCGGAAGGAACACCUGUGGCGAA
rnacentral:rRNA from 1 species